rnacentral:rRNA from 1 species
CAGUAGCCGCGGGAAUACAGAGGGUGCGAGCGUUAAUCGGAUUUACUGGGCGUAAAGCGUGCGUAGGCGGCUAAUUGAGUCGGAUGUGAAAUCCCCGAGCUUAACUUGGGAAUUGCAUUCGAUACUGGUUAGCUAGAGUGUGGGAGAGGAUGGUAGAAUUCCAGGUGUAGCGGUGAAAUGCGUAGAGAUCUGGAGGAAUACCGAUGGCGAAGGCAGCCAUCUGGCCUAAUACUGACGCUGAGGUACGAAAGCAUGGGGAGCAAACAGGAUUAGAUACCCCUGUAGUCCCUGUCUCUUAUAC